rnacentral:misc_RNA from 1 species
AACCUUAUGGACCUGCGGGCGUAUACCUGCGGAAGGAUCAUUACAGAGUUGCAAGACUCCCUAAACCAUUGUGAACCUACCUUCUACCGUUGCUUCGGCGGGCGGGCCCAGCGCCCCCCCGGCCCCCCGCGGGCGCCCGCCGGAGGAUACCCAAACUCUUGACAUUAGUGGCCUCUCUGAGUAUUCUUUACUGAAUAAGUCAAAACUUUCAACAACGGAUCUCAGAUCGGAAGAGCACAC